AGGAUAACGUUGCGUCAGCAACGGCCCGUAGGGCGAGCGAAGCGAGUCAUCCUGCACGACCCACCA
rnacentral:sRNA from 1 species